rnacentral:lncRNA from 1 species
UAAGUAAAAUAUUCUAUUUUCUUAUUAAACAAUAUUUUUAGAGUUAUACGUAAAUAAUUUUUGUGGCGUAAAAGCAAAAUAAAUUCAUACAUACUGUAAUACAGUAAGUCAGAGUAUUUAAUUUAAUUUACAAUAACCAGUGGGCCUCCGAAUAACCAAAAGUAAAGAAGACUAUGAACCUACAGUUUGGAGGAUGUAAAUCCAAUGGUAGUCCUUGAUGAAAUCAGCUAUCUACAGCCUAAUCUGAGCCUGAAAUAGAUGGAAAGGAGAGUGGUGAGAUUAUAUAAUCCCAGUGAGUAAACGAACAUCAUUCAAAAUAUCUAAAGUUGAGUAAAAGGAGACUAUUAAAAUGUUCCCACUAAAUAUGUAAUUCAUAGCAUAAAUAUUCAUUUCAUUUAAAAACAUUAACAUGGCUUAUGAGUAUCUUAAAAGCUUGGCUCCUACCAAAAUCAUUCUCGAGGAUACCUUGGUCGAGACAUUUAACCGAGUCCGCCAAGGCUGUUUAAAAAUUACUUAUACACGUAAACAUAUUUUUAGUUUGAAAAACACAACCGUCCCUUGGCGUUAGCGGAGUUCAUCAUCACGAGGUGGUUCGACAUGACGUAAACUCUAACCAUACCUCAGGAGAUACCUUACGCGCCUUUCCGACCAAGGUACAUAUAUAACCGAAUUCUGUGCCCCUCUAAUAGGCUGGUCCACAGAACCCGCCCACUGUAGCAAGCUAAACCCACCAUACAAUAAAAUUUUGACAGCAUGACAGGGUUAAUUUAAUACUACCUAGCCUGUAAAUGUAAAAUAGAACAAUUCAUAUAGUUCACAAAAACCACAACCUAGCCAGUCAUGCCAACACAUUAACAUAAGCCAUCAAUUCAAAUCAUAAAUUUACAAUAUAUCAAGUGGUCUCCAAUUACUCUAUUUUUCAAAAUCAUUAUUCAAUUUCAAGACAAUUUAUAAAAUCUUUUCAUGUAAACACAUUUUGUUUGUAAAACACAAAGAUUUACCAUUUAAACUCAUUUUCAUAAAAUUUCACCAAAAUCGAAUAAAAACAUACUUUAGAUAAUUAAAAUGAUGAUAAGGUUACUUACAAUGUCUAGAGUGCGGAUUUUCGAAGUACUUAAACUACUGUUCCUCGGGUGCAAUUUCCUUGCCUUUAUCGGAGGACUCACCACCUUGACACAGCACAAAAUCGAGAAACUUACUUCAUUGGUACUAAAUUGAAACUAAACUAAUUUAGACUACUAAUGCAUGAUAUGGAAUGCAAAAUGCACGGGUAACCAUCUAAAUCCAGUAUUGGCCUAAUUCGUCUUAUCACCCGAUUAAUUGGCCAACACAUCCAAUUUAGCUCCAAAUUGCUCCAUUUCUUUUCCAAUACCUUAAUUCACCAAACUCAAGUCCAAUAGCCUAAAAUUUGGCAAAACCAUCAUUACUUUUCUUUCUUAGAAUUUUCGGUCAAUAAUGGUGCAUUAAUACCGUGAUUUUUCCUACUAUUUUUCUACAUCAUAAUUCAUCAUUUUCUAACCAAUUCUCUUAAAAUAAAAAUCAAAUUCAUCCUCACUCAAUACAAGGUAGGUUCGGCCAUUGAUGGGUGAUGGGGAAAAUGAAUUCUUUUCUUAUUGUUUUGCUUCUAGACAUGGUAAACUAACUAAAAACACUAACAUAACUUGAAAUCAAAUCAAUCCAACAUCAUUCUCUCUCCAUACCCAUUUGGCCAGCCAUGAAUUCACCAUGAAAAUUUGAAAUUUAACCAUGAAAAAUAAGGAGAAAUGCUUAAGGAAAAUAGAUUUCAAGUUUAAAUUGAGAAAUCCUACCUUUUUCACUUGUUUUCCUUGAUUUUCCACACUUUUUCUCUUGAAAUUCUCCACCUAGGGUUUGUUCUCUUCCUUUUUCCCUUUGUUCUUGGUGUGACCAAACAUAAA